rnacentral:rRNA from 1 species
UUACUAUGGAGAGUUUGAUCCUGGCUCAGGAUGAACGCUAGCGGCAGGCUUAAUACAUGCAAGUCGAGGGGGCAGCAAUGUCACCGGCGAACGGGUGCGUAACGCGUAUGCAACCUACCUACAUCAGGGGGAUAGCCCUAGGAAACUGGGAUUAAUACCGCAUAAUAUUGGAUAUGGCAUCAUAACCAAUUGAAAUAUUUAUAGGAUGUAGAUGGGCAUGCGUAGGAUUAGCUAGUUGGUAAGGUAACGGCUUACCAAGGCUACGAUCCUUAGGGGCUCUGAGAGGAGUAUCCCCCACACUGGCACUGAGAUACGGGCCAGACUCCUACGGGAGGCAGCAGUAGGGACUAUUGGGCAA